rnacentral:rRNA from 1 species
AUUGAACGCUGGCGGCAUGCCUUACACAUGCAAGUCGAACGGCAGCACGGGGCAACCUGGUGGCGAGUGGCGAACGGGUGAGUAAUGCAUCGGAACGUGCCAUUGAGUGGGGGAUAACGUAGCGAAAGUUGCGCUAAUACCGCAUAUUCUGUGAGCAGGAAAGCAGGGGACCGCAAGGCCUUGCGCUCUUUGAGCGGCCGAUGUCAGAUUAGCUAGUUGGUGAGGUAACGGCUUACCAAGGCGACGAUCUGUAGCGGGUCUGAGAGGAUGAUCCGCCACACUGGAACUGAGACACGGUCCAGACUCCUACGGGAGGCAGCAGUGGGGAAUUUUGGACAAAUGGGCGAAAGCCUGACCCAGCAACGCCGCGUGAGGGAUGACGGCCUCGGUUGUAA